GGACGAACGCUGGCGGCGUGCUAACACAUGCAAGUCGAACGAGGGUAUUAGGGAGCUUGCUCCUUGGAUAGCCGAGUGGCGAACGGGUGAGUAACGCGUGAGCAACCUGUCUCACGACAGGGGGAUAACGCACCGAAAGGUGUGCUAAUACCGCAUAAGACCACAGGGGGACAUCCUCCAGGGGUCAAAGGAGGAAUCCGGUGUGAGGUGGGCUCGCGUCUGAUUAGAUAGUUGGUGAGGCAACGGCUCACCAAGUCAACGAUCAGUAGCCGACCUGAGAGGGUGAUCGGCCACAUUGGGACUGAGACACGGCCCAGACUCCUACGGGAGGCAGCAGUGGGGAAUAUUGGGCAAUGGGCGCAAAAGCCUGACCCAGCAACGCCGCGUGAGGGAAGAAGGUUUUCGGAUUGUAAACCUCUGUCCUGUAUGAAGAGAAGAAGACGGUAGUACAGGAGGAAGCCCCGGCUAACUACGUGCCAGCCGCUGC
rnacentral:rRNA from 1 species